AGAGUUUGAUCUGGCUCAGGACAAACGCUGGCGGCGUGCCUAACACAUGCAAGUCGAACGAAGCGAUGGGGAAAGAGGCUUCGGCCAAUGGAACCAUUGACUUAGUGGCGGACGGGUGAGUAACGCGUGAGCAACCUGCCUUGGAGAGGGGGACAACAGCUGGAAACGGCUGCUAAUACCGCAUGAAAUCGUGAGGGGGCAUCCCCAUACGAUCAAAGAUUUAUCGCUCUGAGAUGGGCUCACGUCUGAUUAGCUUGUUGGCGGGGUAACGGCCCACCAAGGCAUCGAUCAGUAGCCGGACUGAGAGGUUGAACGGCCACAUUGGGACUGAGAUACGGCCCAGACUCCUACGGGAGGCAGCAGUGGGGAAUAUUGGGCAAUGGGCGCAAGCCUGACCCAGCAACGCCGCGUGAAGGAAGAAGGCCUUCGGGUUGUAAACUUCUUUUACCGGGGACGAAGAAAGUGACGGUACCCGGAGAAUAAGCCACGGCUAACUACGUGCCAGCAGCCGCGGUAAUACGUAGGUGGCGAGCGUUGUCCGGAUUUACUGGGUGUAAAGGGCGCGUAGGCGGGAGAGCAAGUCAGAUGUGAAAUCCAUGGGCUCAACCCAUGAACUGCAUUUGAAACUGUUUUUCUUGAGUGUCGGAGAGGUAGACGGAAUUCCUAGUGUAGCGGUGAAAUGCGUAGAUAUUAGGAGGAACACCAGUGGCGAAGGCGGUCUACUGGACGAUAACUGACGCUGAGGCGCGAAAGCGUGGGGAGCAAACAGGAUUAGAUACCCUGGUAGUCCACGCCGUAAA
rnacentral:rRNA from 1 species